rnacentral:sRNA from 1 species
GCUGGGUGUGGUGGCUUGCACCUGUAAUCUCAGCUACUCAGGAGGCUGAGGCAGGAGAAUUGCUUGAACCCAGGAGGUGGAGGUUGCAGUGAGCUGAGAUCGUGCCACUGCACUCCAGCCUGGGUGGCAGAGCAAGAUUCUGUCUUGGAAAAAAAAAAAUUAACAGACUAAUUUAAUGAUCACCCAAAGCUGAGUGAUGUCAUUGCAAUCCAGCCUGGGUGACAGAGCAAGACUCUGUCUCA